rnacentral:rRNA from 1 species
GAUGAACGCUGGCGGCGUGCCUAAUACAUGCAAGUCGAGCGAACAGACGAGGAGCUUUCUCCGUUGACGUUAGCGGCGGACGGGUGAGUAACACGUAGGUAACCUACCUAUAAGACUGGGAUAACUUCGGGAGACCGGAUCUAAUACCGGAUAAUAUUUCGAACCGCAUGGUUCUAUAGUGAAAGAUGGCUUUGCUAUCACUUAUAGAUGGACCUGCGCCGGAUUAGCUAGUUGGUAAGGUAACGGCUUACCAAGGCAACGAUACGUAGCCGACCUGAGAGGGUGAUCGGCCACACUGGAACUGAGACACGGUCCAGACUCCUACGGGAGGCAGCAGUAGGGAAUCUUCCGCAAUGGGCGAAAGCCUGACGGAGCAACGCCGCGUGAGUGAUGAAGGUCUUCGGAUCGUAAAACUCUGUUAUUAGGGAAGAACAAACGUGUAAGUAAAUGUGCACGUCUUGACGGUACCUAAUCAGAAAGCAACGGCUAACUACGUG